rfam:Ictidomys tridecemlineatus contig057139, whole genome shotgun sequence.
GUGGAUAUAGCUCAGUUGGUACAGUGUUUGCUUCCCAUGCAUAAGGCCCUGAGUUCAAACCCCAGCACCACC